GAGAGUAUAGCUCAGUGGUAGAGCGCAUGCUUAGCAUGCAUGACAUCCUGGGUUCAAUCCCCAGUACAUCCA
rnacentral:tRNA from 1 species